CAGCCUCGCGCCUGCGUUCGCGGGAGCGCGCGCCUUGUGCUUCACGCUCCGGCGCCCGCCCUCCCGCGGCCCCGCGGGCCUUCCGGCUUCGCGCACCCGGGCGCCCGGUCUUGAACACUUCCCCCUGCUGGCGGGAAAAGCCUCGGGACCCGACUCCCGAGAGUAGAUCGCCAAAAUGUGGGCCCGUCCUCAACGAAAUUUUUAACCUGUGAGCAGGAGGGCAGGGGGUGCCUCCUCAGUUGGAAAGUUGCCUUGUGCAGAAAGCAGACCAUAGUCUACAAGGUCAAUGGGAAGUUCCUGGGAUGCCAGACAACUGGAUGGAAUUGUUCUCUCCUCCCAGUAUGGGCCUGAAAAAUGUUAAACGGCUGAUGAUCCCACAGGGCACCAGGGAAUGUUCAACCUUGAACAAGCAAAAGGCCAUCAGAGCUGUGCCCCCUUCCGCUCUUCUCAAGUGGAAAUCUCUUCCCCAUUUUCUUUUCCUUCUCAACUGAAGCUUUUGCCUGCAAAUUCAUGCUGUUGCCUCAGUUCUAAUUUACACCAUCACUGAAGCAAGUUCCCACAUGCAUCUGUUAUCAUCUACAGUACUGGAAGUCUUAGCCAGAACAAGAACAACAAAAAC
rnacentral:lncRNA from 1 species